rnacentral:lncRNA from 1 species
CUGAUUUGAACUGCAAAUUUGGGGAGUUUUGUAGAAGAAUUGGACCAAGGUCCAAUUAACAAAGUUGUAGUAGGGACUUCAUUCUCCAACUUCUAAAAAGAGUUUUCUUGGUGUCCUGCUCAACUUUCCAAAGAUAAACCUUCCCUAAGGCGCUAGGUUGGGCUGGAAACCAGACUUAGUCGAUAUAGCUCAAGAAAAACUGAGUCAACCAGAUUAGGGAACUUUUCUUAAGAUUAAACUUGGCUCAAAUAAUCUAGGUCGUUACAGCCUACCCCCCUUAAAAAGAAUCUCGUCCCGAGAUUCGGGUGCAAGGACAACUAGUGGGAUGGGCGGGUCUUACCUCCUUAGCUGAAAAGAAAACCUCUGAAGUGCUUAUUCAGAUAUUCC